rnacentral:rRNA from 1 species
UACAGAGGGUGCAAGCGUUGUUCGGAAUUAUUGGGCGUAAAGGGAGUGUAGGCGGUUUGUUAAGUCUUCUGUGAAAUCUACGGGCUUAGCCUGUAACGUGCAGAGGAAACUGGCGAGCUUGAGUGUCGGAGAGGAUAGGGGAAUUCCCGGUGUAGAGGUGAAAUGCGUAGAUAUUGGGAGGAACACCAGUGGCGAAGGCGGCUCACUGGACUGGUACUGACGCUGAGGCGCGAAAGCGUGGGGAGCAAACGGG